rnacentral:lncRNA from 1 species
GUUUGGUUUCCCAGAGGCCGGGCUGGGAGGGAAGAAUUCUGGGAAACCAGAAUUGGGGCUAAAUGCCUCUAGUCCAAACAGCAGAGGAGCUGCUGGCUCCCACGUCUGCUGGGGCACUGUUGGGCUUCCGGGGCUCACUCCAGAUGAGCGCGCUGCAGGCUGGCUGGUGCUCUGAGGACUCUCGCCGUCUCUCACCUGCGGACAGACCUGUCAUGCGUCCACAGACUCUCCGGCUAAGUGAAGCAAAGUCGAGCUCUGAGAAGAGACCUUGGGGAGUUCGGUUCGGCUGCCUGGAUUUCAUUUUAAGAUUCUGAAGUCAUCACCGCUGCGCUGCAUUUCCUGAGUACUGCGCUGUCUCAGUGACGCUCGGGAGGAAAUGCCUCACCUCACUUUAUUUAGGUCUUUACCACAAAGUCCAGAUGCAGGCCAGGUGUGAGGUCACUGGCUGGCUCUGCCAGGGCCGAUUUACAACCAGGCAAAGGACCACUCAGUGGCAGGUCCCCACCCCUGGCGGGGCAAUUGCUCUUGGACUGCUCCGUGCUGAUUCCGUGUGGCCUGCCAGUGCUGGACUGUCUGGGGGACACAGGCAGGGUGACAGGAGGCCUGCUCCCUGUGUGGGCUCUGGGAUCACUCGGUGCAGUGCUUGCUCCCUUCCACGAUUGCCUGAGGGCAAUCACCUUUCUGUGCCGGGAAAGCCAGCCCCUGCCGCAGCCCAGGGACAGAUGGAGUGGGACAUGCUAUGGGUGUGUGUUGAGAACCUGUGUCUGAGCUUUUAGUAAUUGCUCCCUGGGCCUAACACCUUGAUAAAAACUUUUGCCCCUUUCUUCCCUCUCCUCUUUUCCCCAUAGCAAAUAUCAUGCUAAACCAAUAUUUCUUAAACAUCAGUGGACAUAAGUCCCCUAGAGGCCUGUGACACUAUGGAUUCUGACUCAGCAGCACGGUGCACAAGCUCCGGGGGAUGCUCAAGUUGUGACCUGGCCCUCAUUCUCCUUGACUCCAGGAGUAGCUUCUCGGCUCCGCCACGUGCUGUACCCACAGGGCUCUGGACACAGUCAUCACAGAUCAGCAUGGAGCCACAACCUGUCUGGUCUGGCAAUGGCAAGGAGUGAGGGUACAGGGGGAGACAUCUGUGAGAGGCUAAGACCGACUUACCCAUCAUCUAGGAAGGGGUGGCUAGGAGGCCGUCAGGCUGCAGAGAGGGCACAGAGAGUGGGGCGCAGAGCGGGGGUGUCAGGGUACCAGGGUCUGAUUCAAAAGAGAAGAGCCAAGGUUGGGGCAGGGCCGAGGGGCCUGGGUGUCUGCAGAGCCCUCAUGUGUCCCUGUGAGUGGGCUGUUCACUCUGCCCACCUGCUUCCUGGAGCCCAAGGAGCCCGGAAUGAACUGCGGCCACUCUACUGUGGGUCCAGCUCAACCACCUGGAGUGAAGGGGGUGGAAAUCUGGUGGAAUCAAGCACUGUGGGGCCUGAGGGUGCGUGACACCGGGUGAGCCACUGUGUCAGGGGAAGUACCUGUGGUGACAGUGGCUGAUGUCUGCUUCCUCAUCUCUGGUCCUGCUUCCGAGUGAGGUAGCUGUGGGCCUUCUGGUGGGGACAAGGAGGGGGAAGACACCCUCUGAGUCUGGGUGUCGCGGGGCUUGGUGCUGGCUCUGGCUACCACUGCACAACUCAGGGGAAUGGUCCUGGGAUUGAGGGGCCAGGCUGCACCCGGCCCAGAACCAGGUGACCACCAGUCUGGGUAUACAAGUCCAUGCACCUGGCCCUGAGCACAUUCCUUCCUGCCGCAUGACAGUCCCCUUGGGCCAGCUCCGAUGACACCAGGUACGUGGUGUUACCAUUGAAAUGCUGCAGAUUUUUUAUUGUGGUAUAAAAUUGUGUCUUAGAAAAUUGUUGCAAGAAUAAUACAAAGAAAUUCCUUUACCUUCAGCAGAUUUACCAGGUGCUAGCAUCUCGCUCCAUUUGCUCACAUCUUCUCUCUAAUACAAUCUCUAAGCAUAUUUCUUUUCUUACAUAUGUAGUACCACCUCUGUCCAUGUUCACACCUCUUCACACGUGUGUGUGCGUGUGUGCAUCCAUGUAUGUGUAUGUGUUGUGUUUAGAUAAGAGGCGUCCCCCCAAAACUCAUGUGUGAGACAAUGCAAGAAAGUUUAGAGAUGGAAUGAUCAGGUUGUGAUACUUUUAACCUAAUCAGUGCAAUAAUCCCUGAUGGGGAUUAGCUGGUGGUAACAGUAGGAUGUGGCUGGAGGAGGCGGGUCAAUGAGGUGUGCCUUUGGAGAAUAUAUUUUGUCCCUGGAGUGUGGGGCGCUCUCUGCUUCUUGGUGGCCAUGUCCUGGGCCACUUUUUUCUGCCACACUCUUUUACCAUGAAGUUCUACUUCAUUUCAGUCCCAAAGAAUGGAGUCAGCCAUCUAAGGACUGAGACCUCUAACCCCAUGAGCUCCCAAAUAAAAUCUUCCUCCUGUAAUUGUUCUUGACAGGUCUUUUGGUCACAGCAGCAAGAAAGCUGACCAAAACAGUAUGUGUGUCUGUGCCUAAAUUUGGGGGAAAGAACAACUUGGAAAGAGGUUGCAGACAUCUGGCUCUUAUCUGCUGUUAGCUUUCUGUUGCUAUGACAGAAUACUGGGGAAAAUAGACCCAGGGAGGGAGGAUUGGCCUGGCUCCUGCCUCAGAGCUCUUAGUGCAUGGUCAGUUGGCUCCAUUGCUCUGGAGGUGAGGCAGAUUAUCUUGGUGGAGCAAAGUUGCCCAACUCAUGGUGACCACGAGAGAGAGAGAGCGAGCGAGCGCGCGAGAGCGAGCAGAGACGGAGGGAGACCAAGGACCAGAUGUCUUUCAAGGGCAUAUCCUGGUGACCUUAUUCUCUGAACUAGGCCCCACCUCCUGAAGUGUCUAGCACCUCUCAAUACUGCCAUCAUCUAUGAACCCAUUAGUGGAUUGAUCCACCAGCGAGAUCAGAGCCCUCAUGGUCCAAUCACUUCCUAAACCCACCUCUGAAUACUGCCACACUGGGAACCAGCCUUCAAAACACAAGUCUUUGGGAGACAUUUGAGAUCCAGACCACCACUUCCCUCCAUACUUUUGGCACAUAUAUAUCCAAGAACACUGAUAUUCUCCUACAUCACUAGCAUGGCCACAUCCCCAGGCCAAUCCACUACUGUAUCCAAUACAAUACCCUUUAUGACACCUUUUAUCCUGCCAGGACCUUCCCCUGGACACAACAGUGCAUUUGGCUGUCUUCACACAAUGAUAUCAAGGGGAAGGAUCAUCUUUACUUUUUAUUUAAAAUUUUUUUUUAGUAAAGUGUAAAACCAGAGCCAAUGGCAUAAAAGUGACUUUUAUUCAAAGGCUAAGAAUCCACAAAUCCUUCCCCUUCAUCAGAAGGCAGAAUCUGUGACAAGGCACCUCCCUGGCUGACCUCCUCACACGUCUGCCUC